rnacentral:rRNA from 1 species
CUCAGGAUGAACGCUAGCGGCAGGCUUAAUACAUGCAAGUCGUGGGGCAGCAUGAGUAGCAAUACUUGAUGGCGACCGGCAAACGGGUGAGGAACACGUACACAACCUUCCUUCAAGCGGGGAAUAGCCCAGAGAAAUUGGAUUAAUACCCCAUAAUAUAUUUGAUAAGGCAUCUUAUUAAUAUUAAAGCUUCGGCACUUGAUGAUGGGUGUGCGGCUGAUUAGAUAGUUGGCGGGGUAACGGCCCACCAAGUCUACGAUCAGUAGCUGAUGUGAGAGCAUGAUCAGCCACACGGGCACUGAGACACGGGCCCGACUCCUACGGGAGGCAGCAGUAAGGAAUAUUGGACAAUGGACGAAAGUCUGAUCCAGCCAUGCCGCGUGAAGGAUUAAGGUCCUCUGGAUUGUAAACUUCUUUUAUAUGGGACGAAAAAAGGGCAUUCUUGUUCACUUGACGGUACCAUAUGAAUAAGCACCGGCUAACUCCGUG